rnacentral:ribozyme from 1 species
AAAAAGCGAGAAAGAAAGAAAGAAAAAGUGAGCAAAAAGUGAAUAUUGAGCGUAAAAAAAAGUCCCAUAGA